GGUAACAAUGACGAUAAGUUGAGCACAUAACGUACUCUCUCUCUCUCUCUUCUCCCUCUCUCACGCUAUAAAUAAGCUGACCCAAACCCAAUUCAAUCUUCUCUUCCUCUUUUGCUUCUCUCUUUCACCCACCGCUCAAAUUAAAACAUGGGGGAACAUGAGAAGAGUCAAGCUCCCAUGGAGUUGGAAUCAGAGAUGGAGAGGCUCCCUCUAGCUAGACCUCCUAGCCCAUAUCUUCUCCCUCCUCUCCUCCUUCAGAUAUUUAGCUCAGGCGAGUGGGGUUUGUAGGAAAUGGAGGAGAGCGGUGGAGCAGUCGAUGGCGGGGAGAGAGAAGCUCAGCUUCAACGGUUGGAAGAUGGAUGACGAGUCAACUGCUCGGCUUGUCCGAGUUGCUUACUGCCUGAAGGAACUUGACAUGGCUCUACCAGAUAUCUUUGGCGAGGUGUGCCAGCAGCCUGACAUCUAUAUCCUUGUGGGGAAUGACAGCAAUCACUGACAAGGGUGUGAUUCAGCUGGUACUAAUUUCCCAUACUUUUAAAUACACCAACCAUUUAUUUGUUAAAUCCCAUAACUCCAGGUUCUAGUUUCUAUUGAGAUUCUUGCAUCACUGACUGUGAAUUUUC